rnacentral:rRNA from 1 species
UACAGAGGGUGCAAGCGUUAAUCGGAAUUACUGGGCGUAAAGCGUGCGUAGACGGUUACAUAAGUCGGGUGUGAAAGCCCCGGGCUCAACCUGGGAAUUGCAUUCGAGACUGCGUAGCUAGGGUGCGGAAGAGGGAAGCGGAAUUUCCGGUGUAGCGGUGAAAUGCGUAGAUAUCAAGAGGAACACCUGCGGCGAAGGCGGGUUGCUGGGCCGACACUGACGCUGAAGUGCGAAAGCCAGGGGAGCGAACGGG